rnacentral:rRNA from 1 species
AGUGUACCCGCGGCAAGACGGAAAGACCCCGUGAACCUUUACUAUAGCUUGACACUGAACAUUGAGCCUUGAUGUGUAGGAUAGGUGGGAGGCUUUGAAGUGUGGACGCCAGUCUGCAUGGAGCCGACCUUGAAAUACCACCCUUUAAUGUUUGAUGUUCUAACGUGGACCCGUAAUCCGGGUUGCGGACAGUGUCUGGUGGGUAGUUUGACUGGGGCGGUCUCCUCCUAAAGAGUAACGGAGGAGCACGAAGGUUGGCUAAUCCUGGUCGGACAUCAGGAGGUUAGUGCAAUGGCAUAAGCCAGCUUGACUGCGAGCGUGACGGCGCGAGCAGGUGCGAAAGCAGGUCAUAGUGAUCCGGUGGUUCUGAAUGGAAGGGCCAUCGCUCAACGGAUAAAAGGUACUCCGGGGAUAACAGGCUGAUACCGCCCAAGAGUUCAUAUCGACGGCGGUGUUUGGCACCUCGAUGUCGGCUCAUCACAUCCUGGGGCUGAAGUAGGUCCCAAGGGUAUGGCUGUUCGCCAUUUAAAGUGGUACGCGAGCUGGGUUUAGAACGUCGUGAGACAGUUCGGUCCCUAUCUGCCGUGGGCGCUGGAGAACUGAGGGGGGCUGCUCCUAGUACGAGAGGACCGGAGUGGACGCAUCACUGGUGUUCGGGUUGUCAUGCCAAUGGCACUGCCCGGUAGCUAAAUGCGGAAGAGAUAAGUGCUGAAAGCAUCUAAGCACGAAACUUGCCCCGAGAUGAGUUCUCCCUGAGACUUAGAGUCUCCUGAAGGAACGUUGAAGACGACGACGUUGAUAGGCCGGGUGUGUAAGCGCAGCGAUGCGUUGAGCUAACCGGUACUAAUGAACCGUGAGGCUUAACCUUACAACGCCGAAG